GGCGCUAAGACGGGGUUAGAGCUGGGAUCCGCAGCUGCCUUCCUCGCGGUGGGACUUUGGGCAAGAACCCUCUUCUUCCUGGGUCCCAGGUUUCCAGUCUGGGGAUAGGAUGAGUUGUAGAAUAAGUGCCCUCUCAGUUUCUGUCGUUCUAUGAGACAUCCACGUGCCAGGGUGGGUGAACUGCCCCAAAUCUCCCUGAACUGCCUUCAGGCCCAGCGCCGAGCCUCCUUUGGGGUCGGCCUCGUACUGGGCCAGCGUCAAAGCGUUAUGUCUUUGCCGAGAUGAACGAUCCCCUCCUCCACACGCUGGGAAUAAGGUCAAAGCCGGUAACAGAGCGGGCCACCGGGCAGUUCACGGAGCGCAGUAGCCACAGCCCCACUCCAACAGGUGGUUGUAAAGUCUCGGGCUCUGGAAACCCCACUGCUAGGGCGGCCGCGCCUGAGCCGAGACGACCGGGACGUGCCGAACCUUCCCAACCAGGAUGAGCCCGCGCUGAGGAGGGGAGAGGGCACAGCGCGCAGGGGCAGAGUGUCCGCUCCGCGCGUAAGGUUCAGCGCGGUCCGGGCCUGCAGCCUCCAGUUUCUCAGUUCAUAGAGCCGACCCCGCAAGCCGGUGACGCCCAGCGACCCCUUCCAAGGUUACCUGCGACGCGGAGCUAGGCCUGGCCUGCAACCCGGCCGCGAAUCUUGCAAGAUAUGCCUGCUUUGCUUUAGAAGAUGCGCUGCGUUACCCUUGAGACGGAUUAUUUUGGAAGUGGGAAGCGCCGGGUGGGGGAGCUAGGGGCCCGUCCCACUAUCCCUCUGGAGCCGGGCCCUGAGUUCCUAAGGACAGAGAGAGUCAUGGAGGCACCCCAGUGCCAGGAGAUGGGAGGUGUGGGACUCGUGCGCGAGCUCAACCAGACGUUCGUGGCGGCUCCAGAUGUGCCUCCUGGCCAGGGACAAGGCUCUCCUCCCCACCGCCCAGCCUGGAGCGCAGGUCUAUAAACUAAGUCUCGGUUCUCUCCCUGCCCCUCCGCCUCUGAGAACCGCUCUCAAAGGCGUCCGCCCGCACUCCUCAAUUUGGUUGGAGCAGCCAUAGUUCUCCGCCUUUUGCCACCCGUUCUUGUUCCGCCACCCACCCUCUGCCCUGCCGCAGGAUCCAAGUCCCCCACCCCCGGGAUGGCUCGGGCAUGACCUCAUCCGCGGGCCGACUGAGAGGGAGGGGGUCCAAUGGUUGGGUUGGUGGGGGAAAACUGGGCCGAGAAUGCUAGCGGCGGGUGCAGUUACUGCACAGCCCACCUUCAUCAAGCAUCUGCGUAAAGCUGGCGCCCCUAGCCCCCCGCGUUCAGUCGGAAUUCCUCGGAGUGUCGCGAAGGAGAGGCUCUGAACUCCUGCAGGGCGAGAAUGCAUCCCCUCCUCUUCUCCCAAUCUCUAGACUAGCGCUGGGCCUGAAGAAAGGGCUCAAGUGGGGCUUACUGGUAAUAAAUGCCUGUUAUAAGGUUGUCCUGUGAGAAGUAGAUGACUUCUCAGGAAACCGCUCUCCAGCCUGUUCAUCAGCGGGGUUAACCAUCAAAGAAAGAAAGCAGCAACCAGGAGUGAGGCGUCCAGAGAAAAGCCAAGGUUCAGACAAGCCCACGUUGGCUAUGUGCACGUCCAAUGCUGUCCGGAAGGAACCCGGCAGAGUUAGGACUGUCAUCAUCUGCUUCACAGAUUGGGAAAAGGACGCUCAAAGAGGUGAGGUGACUUGUCCAAGGUCAUGCAGCUCCUCAGAGGUCAAACCAGGGUUCCAGCCCACCUGGGCUGGAGCCCAGUGCUCUUCCCGACAGCAAACUGGGAUGUUUCCAGAAGACCAAGAUAGUAUACUGUGGUCUUGAAGCUGCAUGGAUGGUGAGGGCCUUGGGCUGCACUGGGGUUUCAGAGACUGAGGCUGUCUUUGCAGCUGACUCACAUCUGGAUAUUGACAAGGCAGCAGAUUUCAUAUUUACAAAACGGGGCUCAUCAUCUCCAAUUCAGGUGAUGUAAUGCUAAUUGCCGUCAUCACAUCUCCAGCCAUGCCCAGAACACAUUCUCAGAGCCAGACCCUCUGCUGGGGGCUCUCCAUUGGUGAGCUGUUAAGACCUUGGAUUCUAGAGCUCUGCCACUUAUUAGCUGUGUGACUCUGGGCAAGUUACUUUACUUCUCUGUGCCAUCAUUUCCUCAUCCAUGAAAUGAGGAAAAGGUUGUUCCUAUUGCACAGACUUGUGAAAUUAAAUUAGUUAAUUUUUAUAAAGGACUGGAAGGAUGCCUGGCACAGGGAACACACCCAGCACGUGUUCACUGAUAUGGGAUCAACCUUGUGAGAUGGGCAUCGUGAUUUUCCCUGAAGUACAGGUGUGGAAACAGAGGCUAAUGCAGUAUAGUGAUUCUCAAAUUUCAUGUCUCAGAAUCAGAAUCACCUGGAGAGUUCAUGAAACUAUGGAGGGCUGGGUCCACUCCCAGAAUUUCUGGUUCACCAAGUCUGGGAUGGAACCUGAGAAUCUGCAUUUCUGGCAUGUUCCCAGGUAAGGCUGCUUCUGCUGGUCUGGCAACCACACUUUGAGCACUUGUGCCCUAGUAGACCUGAGGGUGACCCUGUUAUGCAGGGCCAACAAGGACCAGUAAGAGCAGAAGCUCAAUAAAUAAUUUGGUAUGUGAAUAAGUAAGUGACUGAUUACAGAGAGCAGAGGGUUGUGUUGAACCAGGACCCCAAGGGUUCUAGUCCUGAAUUUGCUCUCAAUUCCCAGUGGAACUUGACCAAAUCAUUUUUCCCUGCAGCCUUGGUUUCCUUCUCCAUAAAAGAGGGCUAAUGAUAAUCUUUCCUCACCCAGCUCAGUGAGGAUGAAACAGAGCCUGGCACAGCUCCAACACCCACAGCAAGAACAAAGAGGGUGGCCUUGGUGGAAGGUGUCAGGCACUGGGCACCCACUACAACGUUCAUUGCCGUCUUUCUCCUCUUGCAGCACUGAGGGCCAUAGCUCACUAUUUUCCUGUCUUUCUGGAACCUGACUUGGAAGAUCAUGGCCACACUGUCCCCCAUGUUCCAUGGCAGAGGCAGUGUGCCUGCUAUGGCCACAGGCUGCAUAAAGGGGCCUGUGUUCCGGCUGUUCACCUCCCACUGUGUGCCCAGUGGUUUUCUAUUUCAGUUACUGUAAAAAUAUCACCUUUGAUCUCAGCUUGUGGCUCUUAAAAAAAGAAGAAACAGUCUGGGUUUUCAUUCUCCUGGCUCCUCCACCCUCUCACCUCCUGCUCCUG